GACGAACGCUGGCGGCGUGCUUAACACAUGCAAGUCGAACGCUGAAGCUUGGUGCUUGCACUGGGUGGAUGAGUGGCGAACGGGUGAGUAAUACGUGAGUAACCUGCCCUUGACUCUGGGAUAAGCCUGGGAAACUGGGUCUAAUACUGGAUACGACAUGUCACCGCAUGGUGGUGUGUGGAAAGGGUUUUACUGGUUUUGGAUGGGCUCACGGCCUAUCAGCUUGUUGGUGGGGUAAUGGCUCACCAAGGCGACGACGGGUAGCCGGCCUGAGAGGGUGACCGGCCACACUGGGACUGAGACACGGCCCAGACUCCUACGGGAGGCAGCAGUGGGGAAUAUUGCACAAUGGGCGGAAGCCUGAUGCAGCGACGCCGCGUGCGGGAUGACGGCCUUCGGGUUGUAAACCUCUUUCAGCACGGAAGAAGCGAGAGUGACGGUACGUGCAGAAGAAGCGCCGGCUAACUACGUG
rnacentral:rRNA from 1 species